AUGCUGUCUACUUCCUACUCAGGACUUGUAAUCCUGCUGAUACUGAGAGGGACCAGUGGAGACACAGUGACCCAGACAGAAAGUUCUGUUACCCUCCCUGAGGGGACACUGUUGACCUUGAACUGCACCUACCAGAGCAGCUACUCGGUGUUUGCUUUCUGGUAUGUCCAGUACCAAAACAAAGAGCCCAGGCUCCUCCUGAAGAGCUCAUCAGAAAACCAGAGGGUAGAGAAUCACGGUUUUCAGGCCAGUCUUAAGAGUGACAAGUCCUUCCACCUGGAGAAACGCUCCGUGCAAAUGUCAGACUCAGCCGUGUACUACUGCGCCGUGGAAAGCACAGUGAGAGCAGCAGUAGGGGGAGCUGAGCGCAAACCCAGAGGGGCACAGCAGGGGCCUGGAUGUGCGCAGGCUGGAGGGCAGAAAGGCGAUUUCUCUGGAGUCAGUGUGCUGGGCUGGACACGGAUAGAGGGGAAGGAACGAAUUCCAGCUCAGAUGUCUCCUCGCUCAGGAAUCCUGGCGUUACUCUGA